rnacentral:rRNA from 1 species
CCUACGGGAGGCAGCAGUGGGGAAUAUUGGACAAUGGGCGGAAGCCUGAUCCAGCAACGCCGCGUGAGGGAUGACGGCCUUCGGGUUGUAAACCUCUUUCAGUAGCCACGAAGCGCAAGUGACGGUAGCUACAGAAGAAGGACCGGCCAACUACGUGCCAGCAGCCGCGGUAAU